rnacentral:rRNA from 1 species
AUUGAACGCUGGCGGCAGGCCUAACACAUGCAAGUCGAACGAGUGGCGGACGGGUGAGUAAUGUGUGGGAAACUGCCUUAUGGAGGGGGAUCACUACUGGAAGCGGUAGCUAAUACCGCAUACCAUCAGAUGUGCCCAGAUGGGAUUAGCUAGUGGGUGGGGUAACGGCUCACCAAGGCGACGAUCCCUAGCUGGUCUGAGAGGAUGACCAGCCACACUGGAACUGAGACACGGCCCAGACUCCUACGGGAGGCAGCAGUGGGGAAUAUUGCACAAUGGGCGCAAGCCUGAUGCAGCCAUGCCGCGUGUAUGAAGAAGGCCUUAGGGUUGUAAAGUACUUUCAGUGGGGAGGCGUUACCGGCAGAAGAAGCACCGGCUAACUCCGUGCCAGCAGCCGCGGUAAUUC